AUUGAACGCUGGCGGCAGGCCUAACACAUGCAAGUCGAACGAGUGGCGGACGGGUGAGUAAUAUCUGGGAAACUGCCCGAUGGAGGGGGAUAACUCCUGAAAACGGUAGCUAAUCCCGCAUACCAUCGUAUUUUCCCCUAUGGGAUUAGCUAGUAGGGGGGGUAACGGCUCACCUCGGAGACGAGCCCUAGCUGGUCUGAGAGGAUGACCAGCCACACUGGAACUGAGACACGGGCCAGACUCCUACGGGAGGAAGCAGUGGGGAAUAUUGCAUAAUGGGCGCAAGCCUGAUGCAGCCAUGCCGGGUGUAUGAAGAAGGCCUUCGGGUUGUAAAGUACUUUCAGCGAGGAGGCGUUACUCGCAGAAGAAGCACCGGCUAACUCCGUGACAGCAGCCGCGGUAAUAC
rnacentral:rRNA from 1 species